CCCAGACUCCUACGGGAGGCAGCAGUGGGGAAUAUUGCACAAUGGGCGAAAGCCUGAUGCAGCAACGCCGCGUGAGCGAUGAAGGCCUUCGGGUCGUAAAGCUCUGUCCUCAAGGAAGAUAAUGACGGUACUUGAGGAGGAAGCCCCGGCUAACUACGUGCCAGCAGCCGCGGUAAUACGGAGGAUGCGAGCGUUAUCCGGAUUUAUUGGGUUUAAAGGGUGCGUAGGCGGAUCGUUAAGUCAGUGGUCAAAUGGGGGGGCGCACCCCCUCCCCGCCAUUGAAACUGGCGCUCUUGAGUGGAAGAGAAGUAUGCGGAAUGCGUGGUGUAGCGGUGAAAUGCAUAGAUAUCACGCAGAACCCCGAUUGCGAAGGCAGCAUGCCGGCUUCCGACUGACGCUGAAGCACGAAAGCGUGGGGAUCGAACAGGAUUAGAUACCCCCGUAUCA
rnacentral:rRNA from 1 species